rnacentral:rRNA from 1 species
GGGGGGGGGGGGGGGGGGGCGGGGGGGGGGGGGGGCGGGCGGGGCCGGCGGGGCGGGGGGCGCGCGGGUGCGGAACGCGGGGGGACCUGCCCUUAGGUUCGGGAUCACUCCCCGGAAGGGGUGCUAAUACCGGCUAAUGUCUUCGGACCACAGAUUUGUCGCCUUUGGAUGGGCCCGCGUUGGAUUAGCUAGUUGGUAGGGUAAAAGCCUACCAAGGCGACGAUCCAUAGCUGGUCUGAGAGGAUGAUCAGCCACACUGGGACUGAGACACGGCCCAGACUCCUACGGGAGGCAGCAGUGGGGAAUAUUGGACAAUGGGCGAAAGCCUGAUCCAGCAAUGCCGCGUGAGUGAGGAAGGCCUUAGGGUUGUAAAGCUCUUUUACCCGGGAUGAUAAUGACAGUACCGGGAGAAUAAGCGCCGGCUAACUCCGUG